AUCAACAGUUUGAGACAACCUUUCAGGGUCUGCUCAUCCUCCAUGGCGAGUCAUCUUGCAAUGUGAUCUGUUGCAUCAGACCUCCGUCUGGGAUCAUCUUUUUCCUGCCUGAAGUUCCAGCUUUGGAAUCUCCCUCCGGAGGGUCUACCAGUGGCAAACUCUUAAGUUUUUGUAUUUGUAAGUGCUAUGAUUUCACCUACGUUCUGGAUACAUGUGCCUCAUACUGGGUACAUAAUUCUUGAAAUACAUUUUCACUGAAUAUAUAAUUCUAAGAUGAUGGUUAUUUUCUCUCUGGCUUUGUUGCUCUUGAUGAAAAGUCAGGUGUGAAUCUAUUAUUCUCUUUUUCUAUGUGCCAGAAAGAGGUGUUG
rnacentral:lncRNA from 1 species